rnacentral:rRNA from 1 species
CCGGCGCACGGGUGAGUAACACGUAUCCAACCUGCCGUCUACUCUUGGACAGCCUUCUGAAAGGAAGAUUAAUACAAGAUGGCAUCAUGAGUUCACAUGUUCACAUGAUUAAAGGUAUUCCGGUAGACGGUGGGGAUGCGUUCCAUUAGAUAGUAGGCGGGGUAACGGCCCACCUAGUCUUCGAUGGAUAGGGGUUCUGAGAGGAAGGUCCCCCACAUUGGAACUGAGACACGGUCCAA